rnacentral:lncRNA from 1 species
UUCCUUGGGUUUUAAGGAUGCUGUGAAGAACACUGCAUUGUUGGCACAAAGUGCUGUAGGAGUCGCUGUUGCUGCAGCUGUAGUGAUUUUCAGUUACUUUUAUGAAGUUCACAGAAAAACCAAGUAAAGAGGAUGAAAAUUAAUCAGCUCUCAUUCAAAACAACCUUAUUGGAAAUUAUUCAAUUAAGUGUGUUUGAGGAACUUGAUUAAUUGCAAACUUCCAUUCUGAUUCGAGAAUAAAUGAUAGUUUUUAUAUGAAUUUUCUCAUUUAAUAUGCCUAUGCACCUCUAGAAUCAGGUCUGAGCCCUCAAGUAUGCGUCCUCGCACUUGGCAUUUAGACUGCUAUUUUGUCUUCCUUGGGUUUUAAGGAUGCUGUGAAGAACACUGCAUUGUUGGCACAAAGUGCUGUAGGAGUCGCUGUUGCUGCAGCUGUAGUGAUUUUCAGUUACUUUUAUGAAGUUCACAGAAAAACCAAGUAAAGAGGAUGAAAAUUAAUCAGCUCUCAUUCAAAACAACCUUAUAGGAAAUUAUUCAAUUAAGUGUGUUUGAGGAACUUGAUUAAUUGCAAACUUCCAUUCUGAUUCGAGAAUAAAUGAUAGUUUUUAUAUGAAUUUCCUCAUUUAAUAUGCCUAUGCACCUCUAGAAUCAGGUCUGAGCCCUCAAGUAUGCUUCCUCGCACUUGGCAUUUAGACUGCUAUUUUGCCUUCUAUUGAUUUCUUCGGGUCAGAGAUUCUUUCUCGUAACAUAUAAGAAAGAAAAG